AAUGGAUUCGGAGCCAUAGCUUCUAUUGUUUUCAAAUCCAGCUUCAACAACUCCUUCAAAGCUUUCUUGCUUCUCAUCUUGGCAACCAUGACACUAGAAACACUUUCCAAAAACAGGUUAGACUUUUUUUUCACAAGAAUGUGAGACUCAUGAAUCAGAAUUUAUAGGAUGUGCUUUAUUUAGAGUUUAAGAUAUGAUAAAAUUAAAUACUUUCUGUUUUUAAAAAUCAAUUAAGGAAGAUUUUGAUUAAUUUUAACCUGUGUAAGUUUAAUUUAAGAUAUGAUAUGAUAUGAUAAGAUACUGUUUCAAAAUAAUUAACUGGAUACAACACAAGUUUUCACUCCACUUUGUUUAUGUUGUUUCCAAAUUUGUUUUCGUUCAAGUUUAACUGGAUAGUGGAUACACACAGUUUUAACUUUUAAUUGAAUGUUAGAUAUGAUUUUAAUUUUGAUUUGAAAAUUUUUAAGGUUUUAACUGAUUUUUCCACCCAAGCAUUUUUCUAUCACUUAACUGAUUUUUUUUCCACGUAAAAAAAAGAAACAGAUUUUCUGUUAUUUCCCUUUUUUUGUUCUCUCGUCUUUUUGUUGUUUCCAAGUUGGUUUUCAUUCAAGUUUAACGAUGUUCGUAGUUUUGAUUUUGACUUGUUUGCAAGACCAGAGGAAGCCAUGUCUGUUUUAAUGACUCUUUUAGUAGUUUGAACUAAAAUUUAAAAUUUGAAUUUAUAUUUUAUAUUAUAUUUUAUUUAAAUUUAAAUUAAGAUAAUUCUGUAUUUAUAUUUGUGUUUUAAAAUUAAUAAAUGAUAAAAUAAAUAAAAAUUGUGUUCUUCAUUUGAGAAAAUUUAGAUAAGCUCUUUUUUUUUCUGAAAAAAAAAAGAAAAAGUUUUGGAGAACUAAUUCCUCAUUUUUUAAUAUCUUGACUUUGUGUUGAUUUCCAAUCUUUUAUACAGAGACUAGUAUUUAAACAAAGUUUCUACUACACUUUUUUUUUUAGUGUUUCCUGUUAGUUGAUGUGUGUAUCAUUUCUAUUCGUGUGUUGUGCAGACUGGACUAUUUGUAUAUGACAUUUUCUGGGUUUUUUUCACUCCAGUGAUGGUUAGCGGUUAGCGUUGCUAAAUCAUUUGAUGCUCUGAAAAAGGUUAAAGUCUUAUCUGAGUGAAUUGAGUUUAUUUUCUCCUCCUUUAUAUGAAGUUAAAUAAUAUACCUUAUACAAUAUCUUCCUAAUAUUGAUCAUUCCAAUUAUUUUUCAGCUUUUGUCACCCCACAGCAGAUUCUACCCGUCCAUUUUCAAUGCUUGGCCUUGGUGACAUUGUCAUCCCUGGUAGGCUGACUUGUUAAGUUAUUAAUUAUGAACAUGACUAUAGAUACAUUGAUUAUACAAGAUUUUCAUCAAGUUAGAUUAAUUUUCAUGUCAUUUGAGGCAUAAGAUAUGAUAAACAUUUCAAAGCUAAUGUUAUAACUUAAAAAGAUGUUACAUUAUCCUCUCCCGUUGGAUCAACAACGAAGCAAGCAUUACAAAGAGUGGUACUCAACUAAUGCAAGCCCUUUAAUUUUUACAUAAAGUUAAUAGUUGAGAAUCAUUAAAUAAUUUAAUAUAUUUGGUUAAAUUAUCAUUUAACGAUUUUCAACUAUCAAUACUACAUAAAAACAACAGUACGUGCAUUUCUACCUUUAAAUUAAUCUAAAGAGUUAGAAACUUUAAUAUUCAUUCAUUCAUUGAUAAUCAUAUCCAACUAAAUGCAAUCGGACUAACAACCUUAUGCUGUCCAUCUGACCAUUUCAGAUAAGCAAAGCUAUUUGUGCCCAGAGCUACUGAAUUAGAAGAUGUGAAUGUCACAGUGUAGUUCUUCUUCUCAAACAAUUCAGUGAAG
rnacentral:lncRNA from 1 species